ensembl:snRNA U1 U1 spliceosomal RNA
AUAAUUGCCUUAAGAGAAGAGAUACCAUCAUCACGAGGGUGCUUUUCCCAGGGCGAGGCUCAUCCAUUGCACUCCAGAUGUGCUGACCCCUGCGAUUUCCCCAAAUGUGCGAAACUCGACUGCAUAAUUUGUGGUAGUGGAGGGCUGCAUUCACGCUUUCCCCUG